GGAAGGGCAUCGCGCGCUACUAUACGAUCGACGUGGACGGCAGCGUGAACCCUGAUGCCGCUUGGUACUAUCCGAAUCCCAAGCCGGCGGCCACAAACAUCGCUGGCAAGGUCGCUUUCUGNCGUUCUUUGAGGUCCCCGGCGCGAGGGUCGGCAUCCUUUGUGGCCGUCACGAUCGAGUAGCCGAGGACGCCGGACUUGGUCGCGGCGAGCGCGUGCCGGACGAUGUCCUUGGCGGCGGCGAGGGGUCAAUCUUCUUCAGCCCGACCAUGAUCUCGGUCGUGAAAAGCCGCAACCUGAUCGCCUCCACGAA
rnacentral:misc_RNA from 1 species